rnacentral:rRNA from 1 species
GAUGAACGCUGGCGGCGUGCCUAAUACAUGCAAGUCGAGCGAACAGACGAGGAGCUUGCUCCUCUGACGUUAGCGGCGGACGGGUGAGUAACACGUGGAUAACCUACCUAUAAGACUGGGAUAACUUCGGGAAACCGGAGCUAAUACCGGAUAAUAUAUUGAACCGCAUGGUUCAAUAGUGAAAGACGGUUUUGCUGUCACUUAUAGAUGGAUCCGCGCCGCAUUAGCUAGUUGGUAAGGUAACGGCUUACCAAGGCGACGAUGCGUAGCCGACCUGAGAGGGUGAUCGGCCACCCUGGAGCUGAGACACGGUCCAGACCCCGACGGGAGGCAGCAGUAGGGAAUCGUCCGCAAUGGGCGAAAGCCUGACGGAGCAACGCCGCGUGAGUGAUGAAGGUCUUCGGAUCGUAAAACUCUGUUAUUAGGGAAGAACAAAUGUGUAAGUAACUAUGCACGUCUGGACGGUACCUAAUCAGAAAGCCACGGCUAACUACGU